UAUUGCGCACUGGGGGACACCCUGACGCAGCGACGCCGCGUGAACGAUGAAGGCCUUCGGGUCGUAAAGUUCUGUCCUCAGGGAAGAAUAAAUUGACGGUACCUGAGGAGGAAGCCCCGGCUCACUACGUGCCAGCAGCCGCGGUAAUACGUAGGGGGCAAGCGUUGUCCGGAAUUAUUGGGCGUAAAGGGUGCGUAGGCGGCCUUUUAAGUCAGAUGUGAAAGGCUACGGCUUAACCGUAGUUAGCAUUUGAAACUAAAAGGCUUGAGUGCAGGAGAGGAGAGUGGAAUUCCUAGUGUAGCGGUGAAAUGCGUAGAUAUUAGGAGGAACACCAGUGGCGAAGGCGACUCUCUGGACUGCAACUGACGCUGAGGCACGAAAGCGUGGGGAGCGAAC
rnacentral:rRNA from 1 species